AUUGAACGCUGGCGGCAUGCCUUACACAUGCAAGUCGAACGGCAGCACGGGAGCAAUCCUGGUGGCGAGUGGCGAGCGGGUGAGUAAUAUAUCGGAACGUGCCCAGUCGUGGGGGAUAACGUAGCGAAAGCUACGCUAAUACCGCAUACGAUCUAUGGAUGAAAGCGGGGGAUCGCAAGACCUCGCGCGAUUGGAGCGGCCGAUAUCAGAUUAGGUAGUUGGUGAGGUAAAGGCUCACCAAGCCGACGAUCUGUAGCUGGUCUGAGAGGACGACCAGCCACACUGGGACUGAGACACGGCCCAGACUCCUACGGGAGGCAGCAGUGGGGAAUUUUGGACAAUGGGCGCAAGCCUGAUCCAGCAAUGCCGCGUGCAGGAUGAAGGCCUUCGGGUUGUAAACUGCUUUUGUACGGAACGAAACGGCGAGCUCUAAUACAGUUUGCUAAUGACGGUACCGUAAGAAUAAGCACCGGCUAACUACGUGCCAGCAGCCACCGUAA
rnacentral:rRNA from 1 species